CGGGAUGUGGCGCAGUCUGGGAGCGCGCCUGUUUCGGGUACAGGAGGUCGUGGGUUCGAACCCCACCAUCCCGACCA
rnacentral:tRNA from 1 species